AAUGUUUUUUGUAUUCGCCUAAGGAUAGAUCUGCGGCUGAUUAGGUCGUUGGUGGGGUAAUGGCCCACCAAGCCGAUGAUCGGUACGGGUUGUGAGAGCAAGGGCCCGGAGAUGGAACCUGAGACAAGGUUCCAGACCCUACGGGGUGCAGCAGCCGCGAAACCUCCGCAAUGUACGUAAGUGCGACGGGGGGAUCCCAAGUGUUAUGCUUAAUAGUAUAACUUUUCAUUAGUGUAAAAAGCUUUUAGAAUAAGAGCUGGGCAAGACCGGUGCCAGCCGCCGCGGUAAUACCGGCAGCUCGAGUGGUAGCUGUUUUUAUUGGGCCUAAAGCGUUCGUAGCCGGUUUGAUAAGUCUUUGGUGAAAGCUUGUAGCUUAACUAUAAGAAUUGCUGGAGAUACUAUCAGACUUGAAGUCGGGAGAGGUUAGAGGUACUACCGGGGUAGGGGUGAAAUCCUAUAAUCCUGGGAGGACCACCUGUGGCGAAGGCGUCUAACUAGAACGAUCUUGACGGUGAGUAACGAAAGCCAGGGGCGCGAACCGGAUUAGAUACCCGGGUAGUCCUGGCCGUAAACGAUGUGGACUUGGUGUUGGAAUGGCUUUGAGUUGUUCCAGUGCCGAAGGGAAGCUGUUAAGUCCACCGCCUGGGAAGUACGGUCGCAAGACUGAAACUUAA
rnacentral:rRNA from 1 species